rnacentral:rRNA from 1 species
AGCAAACAGGAUUAGAUACCUGGUAGUCACGCUGUAAACGAUGUCGAUUGGAGGUUGUUCCCUUGAGGAGUGGCUUCCGGAGCUAACGCGUUAAUCGACCGCCUGGGGAGUACGGCCGCAAGGUUAAAACUCAAAUGAAUUGCCGGGGGCCCGCACAAGCGGUGGAGCAUGUGGUUUAAUUCGAUGCAACGCGAAGAACCUUACCUACUCUUGACAUCCAGAGAAUUUAGCAGAGAUGCUUUAGUGCCUUCGGGAACUCUGAGACAGGUGCUGCAUGGCUGUCGUCAGCUCGUGUUGUGAAAUGUUGGGUUAAGUCCCGCAACGAGCGCAACCCUUAUCCUUUGUUGCCAGCACAUUAUGGUGGGAACUCAAAGGAGACUGCCGGUGAUAAACCGGAGGAAGGUGGGGAUGACGUCAAGUCAUCAUGGCCCUUACGAGUAGGGCUACACACGUGCUACGAUGGCGUAUACAAAGAGAAGCGACCUCGCGAGAGCAAGCGGAACUCAUAAAGUACGUCGUAGUCCGGAUUGGAGUCUGCAACUCGACUCCAUGAAGUCGGAAUCGCUAGUAAUCGUAGAUCAGAAUGCUACGGUGAAUACGUUCCCGGGCCUUGUACACACCGCCCGUCACACCAUGGGAGUGGGUUGCAAAAGAAGUAGGUAGCUUAACCUUCGGGAGGGCGCUUACCACUUUGUGAUUCAUGACUGGGGUGAAGUCGUAACAAGGUAACCA